rnacentral:rRNA from 1 species
GUUAAGCGACUAAGCGUACACGGUGGAUGCCCUGGCAGUCAGAGGCGAUGAAGGACGUGCUAAUCUGCGAUAAGCGUCGGUGAGGUGAUAUGAACCGUUAUAACCGGCGAUUUCCGAAUGGGGAAACCCAGUGUGUUUCGACACACUAUCAUUAACUGAAUCCAUAGGUUAAUGAGGCGAACCGGGGGAACUGAAACAUCUAAGUACCCCGAGGAAAAGAAAUCAACCGAGAUUCCCCCAGUAGCGGCGAGCGAACGGGGAGGAGCCCAGAGCCUGAAUCAGUGUGUGUGUUAGUGGAAGCGUCUGGAAAGGCGCGCGAUACAGGGUGACAGCCCCGUACACAAAAAUGCACAUAUUGUGAGCUCGAUGAGUAGGGCGGGACACGUGGUAUCCUGUCUGAAUAUGGGGGGACCAUCCUCCAAGGCUAAAUACUCCUGACUGACCGAUAGUGAACCAGUACCGUGAGGGAAAGGCGAAAAGAACCCCGGCGAGGGGAGUGAAAAAGAACCUGAAACCGUGUACGUACAAGCAGUGGGAGCCUCUUUAUGGGGUGACUGCGUACCUUUUGUAUAAUGGGUCAGCGACUUAUAUUCUGUAGCAAGGUUAACCGAAUAGGGGAGCCGAAGGGAAACCGAGUCUUAACUGGGCGUUAAGUUGCAGGGUAUAGACCCGAAACCCGGUGAUCUAGCCAUGGGCAGGUUGAAGGUUGGGUAACACUAACUGGAGGACCGAACCGACUAAUGUUGAAAAAUUAGCGGAUGACUUGUGGCUGGGGGUGAAAGGCCAAUCAAACCGGGAGAUAGCUGGUUCUCCCCGAAAGCUAUUUAGGUAGCGCCUCGUGAAUUCAUCUCCGGGGGUAGAGCACUGUUUCGGCAAGGGGGUCAUCCCGACUUACCAACCCGAUGCAAACUGCGAAUACCGGAGAAUGUUAUCACGGGAGACACACGGCGGGUGCUAACGUCCGUCGUGAAGAGGGAAACAACCCAGACCGCCAGCUAAGGUCCCAAAGUCAUGGUUAAGUGGGAAACGAUGUGGGAAGGCCCAGACAGCCAGGAUGUUGGCUUAGAAGCAGCCAUCAUUUAAAGAAAGCGUAAUAGCUCACUGGUCGAGUCGGCCUGCGCGGAAGAUGUAACGGGGCUAAACCAUGCACCGAAGCUGCGGCAGCGACACUAUGUGUUGUUG